CUUGUUUCAAUUCAUUUUUCUCAGUGAACUGAACAUGAAAACCCUUUGGAAAUUGUAGACCAGGAGUUCGAACAAUCUCUCCUCCUUUGAUCGCUUGCCACCUGACAAUUUCAAAUUGGAGAAAGACAGCCAUUUGCACUUUGGUGAAGUCCGUUCCAACACAAAAUCUCAUGCCACCCCCAAAAGCCAUGAAAUGUUUGGAUGCACCAUUCAAUUCCAUUCCCUAUAUGUCACCAUUUUUUAUCAGAUGAGAAUUCAGGAGAAAGACUGAAAUUUUCAGAAGUACAACUGACAGCGGUGUCUGAUUAGCAGUUAAAUAAUUGCCGGUGAAAAUCAAAUAAACAAUAUAAACGCAGGGUUCAAGUGUAUAGCUGGAGGACAGACCACAACCGCCCAACCAGCUGGAAUGGUAUAGCCUGCAUUUAUCCCCGUUUUAUUUUAAGGUAUGUCCAAAUGGAUGUGUUUUUCUUUUGUAUGAACAAAUUCAAGUACUAUGGCUAGAAAUUGACCA